rnacentral:rRNA from 1 species
GUCAGGAUGAACGCUGGCGGCGUGCUUAACACAUGCAAGUCGAACGGAGAUAUUGAAAGCUUGCUUUAGAUAUCUUAGUGGCGGACGGGUGAGUAACGCGUGGGUAACCUACCCUGUACAGGGGGAUAGCAGUUGGAAACGACUGAUAAAACCGCAUAAAACGGCAGUACCGCAUGGUACAACCGUCAAAUAUUCAUAGGUACAGGAUGGGCCCGCGUCUGAUUAGCUAGUUGGUGGGGCAACGGCCUACCAAGGCGACGAUCAGUAGCCGGCCUGAGAGGGUGAACGGCCACAUUGGGACUGAGACACGGCCCAAACUCCUACGGGAGGCAGCAGUGGGGAAUAUUGGACAAUGGGGGAAACCCUGAUCCAGCGACGCCCGCGUGAGUGAAGAAGUAUUUCGGUAUGUAAAGCUCUAUCAGCAGGGAAGAUGAUGACGGUACCUGACUAAGAAGCACCGGCUAAAUACGUGCCAGCAGCUGC